ensembl:scaRNA
GGCCUCUAUCCCAUGGGGAAGGGGUCAGGGAGGGGGCUCUCUUUUCUCCUCAGCCCUUGGGCUGGAGGCCAAGUUCAGCUCUGCAGGAUCCCUGGGCAGCCUUGUUUCUUACCUCAGACAUUU